GGAGCUUGCUCCCUGAUGUUAGCGGCGGACGGGUGAGUAACACGUGGGUAACCUGCCUGUAAGACUGGGAUAACUCCGGGAAACCGGGGCUAAUACCGGAUGGUUGUUUGAACCGCAUGGUUCAGACAUAAAAGGUGGCUUCGGCUACCACUUACAGAUGGACCCGCGGCGCAUUAGCUAGUUGGUGAGGUAACGGCUCACCAAGGCGACGAUGCGUAGCCGACCUGAGAGGGUGAUCGGCCACACUGGGACUGAGACACGGCCCAGACUCCUACGGGAGGCAGCAGUAGGGAAUCUUCCGCAAUGGACGAAAGUCUGACGGAGCAACGCCGCGUGAGUGAUGAAGGUUUUCGGAUCGUAAAGCUCUGUUGUUAGGGAAGAACAAGUGCCGUUCAAAUAGGGCGGCACCUUGACGGUACCUAACCAGAAAGCCACGGCUAACUACGUGCCAGCAGCCGCGGUAAUACGUAGGUGGCAAGCGUUGUCCGGAAUUAUUGGGCGUAAAGGGCUCGCAGGCGGUUUCUUAAGUCUGAUGUGAAAGCCCCCGGCUCAACCGGGGAGGGUCAUUGGAAACUGGGGAACUUGAGUGCAGAAGAGGAGAGUGGAAUUCCACGUGUAGCGGUGAAAUGCGUAGAGAUGUGGAGGAACAC
rnacentral:rRNA from 1 species